rnacentral:rRNA from 1 species
GGCCUACCAUGGUGGUAACGGGUAACGGGGUGUUAGGGCACGACACCGGAGAGGGAGCCUGAGAAACGGCUACCACAUCCAAGGAUGGCAGCAGGCGCGCAAAUUACCCAAUCCCGACACGGGGAGGUAGUGACAAUAAAUAACAAUACGGGGUUCUUUCGGAUCUCGUAAUUGGAAUGAGUACAAUUUAAAUCUCUUAACGAGGAACAAUUGGAGGGCAAGUCUGGUGCCAGCAGCCGCGGUAAUUCCAGCUCCAAUAGCGUAUAUUAAAGUUGUUGCAGUUAAAAAGCUCGUAGUUGAAUUUCGGGAUCAAUAUGUUGGUCGUGCCUUGGUACGUACUGGCGUCAUUGGUUUCUACCUUCUGAAGAACCUCGAUGUCAUUAAUUUGGUGUCUUGGGGAAUCAGGACUGUUACUUUGAAAAAAUUAGAGUGUUUAAAGCAAGCUCACGCUUGAAUACAUUAGCAUGGAAUAAUGAAAUAGGACGUUUGAUUCUAUUUUGUUGGUUUCUAGGAUCGACGUAAUGAUUAAUAGGGAUAGUUGGGGGCAUUAGUAUUCAAUUGUCAGAGGUGAAAUUCUUGGAUUUAUUGAAGACUAACUACUGCGAAAGCAUUUGCCAAGGAUGUUUUCAUUAAUCAAGAACGAAAGUUAGGGGAUCGAAGACGAUCAGAUACCGUCGUAGUCUUAACCAUAAACUAUGCCGACUAGGGAUCGGAUGAUGUUAAUUUUUUAAUGACUCAUUCGGCGCCCUACGGGAAACCAAAGUGUUUGGGUUC